GGGAAGAUGACCGAGUGGUCGAAGGUGACAGACUGUAAAUCUGUUGGUAAUACCCACGUUGGUUCGAAUCCAACUCUUCUCA
rnacentral:tRNA from 1 species